rnacentral:rRNA from 1 species
UACGUAGGGUGCAAGCGUUGUCCGGAAUUAUUGGGCGUAAAGAGCUCGUAGGCGGUCUGUUGCGUCGGCUGUGAAAACCCGGGGCUCAACUCCGGGCCUGCAGCCGAUACGGGCAGACUAGAGUUCGGCAGGGGAGACUGGAAUUCCUGGUGUAGCGGUGAAAUGCGCAGAUAUCAGCAGGAACACCGGUGGCGAAGGCAGGUCUCUGGGCCACUACUGACGCUGAGAAGCGAAAGCAUGGGGAGCGAACAGG